rnacentral:misc_RNA from 1 species
GAAAGAGAAAGGGCUGAGCCAAGGCAAACUCGAACUCUCUGAGGAAUGCUUCUCUCUCUAUCUUAAGUUUCUUCAAUUUUUUUGGGAACUGUGAGGAUUACUUUUGGUUCCAUGGAGCAUAAAUUCCUGGUUUGUCCAGCUUAGCACCACAGCAGAUGUGUGGCAACUGCUCCCUUCAUUGACUUUCAAUAAUGGACAUUUAGUUAAAUUAUCCAUUCACCCAGUGUAGUUUUCAAGGCGGUUUUAUCUAACAUAGACCUCCCUGGUCCCUCGUGGAUCCUUGCUCCCCCAGUUGUUGGAG